GGCGCGUAGCUCAGCUGGUUAGAGCGCACGACUGAUAAUCGUGAGGUCGGCAGUUCAAAUCUGCCCGUGCCUACCAC
rnacentral:tRNA from 1 species